GCAUCUAGCUCGCACGAGGUCCUCGUACAUGCAAGUCGAGCGGACAGAUCUGGAGCUCUGCUCCCUGAUGUUAGCGGCGGACGGGCUGAGUAACACAGUUGGGUAACCUGCCUGUAAGACUCGGGUAUAACUCCGGGAAACCGGCGGCUAAUACCGGAUGCUUGAUUGAACCGCAUGGUUCAAUUAUAAAAGGUGGCUUUAUACGCUUACNACUUUAACAAAUGGANCCCGGCGGGGCCUUAACCUUNGUGGUGGGGNUACCGGUUAACAAGGCCACCGGAUCCGUUAUCCCGACCUGGAAAAGGGGAUCAGGCCUCAAUUGGACUUGGAACCAGGUCCAAACUUCUNCGGGAGGGAAGAAUGUGGGAAUUUUUCGAAAUUGGAACCAAAGGUCUUACCGAACCACCCCCGGUGAGGGAAUAAAGUUUUUCGGAAUCGGAAAACUUUUUGUUGUUAAGGAAAAAACAAGUCCCGUUUCGAUUGGGCGGGACCUU
rnacentral:rRNA from 1 species